rnacentral:rRNA from 1 species
CACGUAGGGCGCGAGCGUUGUCCGGAAUUAUUGGGCGUAAAGAGCGCGUAGGCGGCCUUUUGCGUCCGCUGUGAAAGCCCGGGGCUUAACCCCGGGUCGGCAGUGGAUACGGGCAGGCUAGAGGUAGGUAGGGGAGAAUGGAAUUCCCGGUGUAGCGGUGAAAUGCGCAGAUAUCGGGAGGAACACCGGUGGCGAAGGCGGUUCUCUGGGCCUUACCUGACGCUGAGGAGCGAAAGCGUGGGGAGCGAACAGG